GCCAUUGUGGUUUGGAAGUUAAGCAAGAUUGAAGCAAGCUGCUUGGUUUUUGUUUUGACCCAAAACUUAACAACCGAAUCGCGUCGUGCCCACCUUUAAACUGUCUAACGGUUACUCCAGGAUUUGACGGUUUAAAGGUGGGCACGGCGCCGUGCCCACCUUUAAGGAUUUAAGGGUUUAAAGGUGGGUUCGGUUGGUAAAUUUGACGGUUUAGAUGCCCUUUUCCAAUUAAAGGGUAAGAAGUUAAAAACUGAUGAUGAUUGGAUGUUGAUGGUAGUUAUUAGAGUGUAUAAUUACACAACAACAAAACAUUUGGAGGGUCAUUCAUUUGCUGGUAAAUUAUUGUGGGGGGAGAUUUUGUUGUUGGGGAAUAUUUCAAUUUUUAUGUAUAAUAAUGUGUGGGGAAAUAGUAUAUUAGAGGUUAUUUUAGGAAUAACUCGGUUUGGCUCGAAUCUGACGAAUCCCCUCUAACAUCGUUCGUCGGAGGUUAGGUUGUUGGUUUCGCAGAGUCGCCUGAAAUUGGGCUUGCUGAUUUGUCAACAUCCUCACUCGAUUUCUGAACUUCUUCUUCUCUGGUUUUUAGGGUUCCUUCGACUUGGCGUAUCAGACUUUUGAGCUUCUUCUUCUAUCAUCGUAAUUCUACAAGCCGCAUGCUCUCUCUCCCUCUCUGCUCGUUCUGUCCCCCUCCCCUCUCUCUCCCUGAGUAAAACCUGAGAUGCAAUGGCUGAAAAUUGCGUCUUAAGCCUGAGUGGCAUUUUUGUAAAUAAAGCGAAAGUUGGCUAAAAGCGUCCAAGUAGCAGUCUUGUAAAUAAACUGAAAUGUGGUUCAAAACACUGUUCAUUGGUAAAGGGCAAUUGAAAAGCCUUCUUUAGACUAAAGUAAUCGUCAGUAUAAAAAUAAUAUUUAAAUUUUUUAACAUUUUAUGGUAGGUGAGAUUAUAAUGUGGGUAGAAAAAUAAGACAAUGAUGUGG
rnacentral:lncRNA from 1 species